UGGGGAAUAUUGGACAAUGGGCGCAAGCCUGAUCCAGCCAUGCCGCGUGAGUGAUGAAGGCCUUAGGGUUGUAAAGCUCUUUUACCAGGGAAGAUAAUGACGGUACCUGGAGAAUAAGCCCCGGCUAACUUCGUGCCAGCAGCCGCGGUAAUACGAAGGGGGCUAGCGUUGCUCGGAAUCACUGGGCGUAAAGCGCACGUAGGCGGCUUUCUAAGUCAGGGGUGAAAUCCUGGAGCUCAACUCCAGAACUGCCUUUGAUACUGGAAAGCUUGAGUUCGGGAGAGGUGAGUGGAACUGCGAGUGUAGAGGUGAAAUUCGUAGAUAUUCGCAAGAACACCAGUGGCGAAGGCGGCUCACUGGCCCGAUACUGACGCUGAGGUGCGAAAGCGUGGGGAGCAAACA
rnacentral:rRNA from 1 species